UGUGCUGGCUGAUGAUCCAGCAUCUCCUCUGCAGACAAACUUCAGCAUAGCCCCAGUAAAUUAUAAAUCAAUACUUGCAAGAUAUUAAUGUUAUCAGCUGCAUCAAAAAAGUUGCUAGGAUGUGUGAACUUCUCUGGGACGUUGGCCCAGGUUUGGACAGGGCAGACCAGAAAGGGUUAAUGCGAGAGGAUGUUUGUGUUCAAACAGUGGAAAAACAGUAUUGCUGCCAGAUUUUGGGAGCGACUGAUUGCUUCUUAUGCGAGAAGACGUGGACAACAGGAAGAUAUGUUCUGUGUAUAAAAAUGUGUAGAUUCAGACUUGAUCCUCUGUCUUUUUACCAUUUCAUAAACACCAUGCUGUGUGAAAGGUUCCCUCACUUCCUGUACUUUAUCGAUCAGAAUUUAGACGAUGUCAUAAUGUUGAUGAUGUCAUAAACACCGUUCUGAGGGGAAAGUGAUGUCACUGCCUGCUUCCACAUUCUGAAGAUCAAAGCCACAGAGUGAACACAUUCUGAAACUUCAGCUCCUCAGUCUAAUGAAUCAUUUACAACUGAGCUUCGUGUACAGAGCCCAGAAAAACAAGCGGUGGUUAACACAGUCGUUAAGAGAGAAGAAAAAUGAGCUGCAUCGAGGAAACGGUCCCUUCUGAGAAGUUCUUUGACAAUCUGGGCAUGGACGUCAGCCAAGAACAAGCAGAUAUAUCUGACCAAGAAAUCAAAGUGGACGUGGAUGCAGUCAUUCAACAACUGGAAGGAAUAGAUCUCCAACUGCAAAGGACAAGGCCUGGUGAGAGCCACUGCAGAGGAUCAUAGCCAUCGUUGGAGUUCUGAAAGGACGUGGGUGAAUAUCAAUCUGCCAAAUGAACUUUUUUAGCGUGCAUCUUCACAUCUGUAUAUUAAUACUGAUAUGAUACUAUA